rnacentral:rRNA from 1 species
GACGAACGCUGGCGGCGUGCUUAACACAUGCAAGUCGAACGAAGAGCGAUGGAAGCUUGCUUCUAUCAAUCUUAGUGGCGAACGGGUGAGUAACGCGUAAUCAACCUGCCCUUCAGAGGGGGACAACAGUUGGAAACGACUGCUAAUACCGCAUACGAUCUAAUCUCGGCAUCGAGGAUAGAUGAAAGGUGGCCUCUACAUGUAAGCUAUCACUGAAGGAGGGGAUUGCGUCUGAUUAGCUAGGUGGAGGGGGAACGGCCCACCAAGGCGAUGGUCAGUAGCCGGUCUGAGAGGAUGAACGGCCACAUUGGGACUGAGACACGGCCCAGACUCCUACGGGAGGCAGCAGUGGGGAAUCUUCCGCAAUAGACGAAAGUCUGACGGAGCAACGCCGCGUGAGUGAUGACGGCCUUCGGGUUGUAAAGCUCUGUUAAUCGGGACGAAAGGCCUUCUUGCGAAUAGUGAGAAGGAUUGACGGUACCGGAAUAGAAAGCCACGGCUAACUACGUG